rnacentral:lncRNA from 1 species
CACAUCAUCGAGUGUGCCAAAGGCAUCCUCCAACACUUGAAGCAUGUCCUUUGGCUGAGCCGUCUCGAAUCUGCGACUGAACUCGUCGCUCAUAGCAGCCAGCAUGACACAGCGCACCGUGGUCCGGUCACUGAGCCACUUCCGGUAAGUGUCUCUGACUGUUCUACAUGCAUUGACAGCUGGCUCCUCAGGUGCAGGAUCUAUUAUCACAUAUAGGAUCCGUUCAUGCUCCAGGACUAUCUUCAACUUUCGGUAUCAGCUACCGAAGUUGGGUCCCACCAACUUAUCAUUGUCCAACAAUGAUCGGAGCGAUAGGGAAGUGGCCAUAUUUGCACAAAGGAGAACCAUAACCUAAUUAGUAAUUGAUUCAUUAAACCUAAAGAUUUGGACUUUAAUCAAAAGGUUUCUCCCACUAUUUUAUUCAAAUUGGUAGCCUCUACCUCCAACUCGAGGAAUUAUCCUAAUUUCUUAGCGGGUACUAGAAUCCACUUAGACUGCACACAAGCCCAACUUUGGUUGGUCAAUCCAUGUACAUCUAAGGGUAGGUUCAUAACCAAUUGUUUCUCUAAACAAUUUUUAGUAAUUUUAAUUUUGCCCCAGAAACCUAAUCAGAAGGCUUUGGCUUCCACUGUAAGGAUCCGGUUAGGCCAACCAUUAAUAUGAUCAUACUUGGUGUAUCUAACCAAUGAAUGAUUAAGCCCAACUUUGAUUGGCUCACCUAACCA